rnacentral:lncRNA from 1 species
UUCAUUAAUUUGUAAGAUAGGGAGUAGAUCUAAGUUUGCAAACCACUGGAUUGUCUCUAAGUCUCUUAGCUCACUUAAAUCUACGUAUUUUCCCUUGUUGACAUUCCUGAGUUCAAAAGAGGAAAAUUUUUCAGCAUGGUAUUUUGAAUCGAAAAGGGUGGAAUCAAAGUCUUCUACUAAUCUCCUCUUUCCUUUGUCCCUUGAGG